GAUCCUGGCUCAGGAUGAACGCUGGCGGCGUGCUUAACACAUGCAAGUCGAACGAAGCACUUUAUUUGAUUUCCUUCGGGACUGAUUAUUUUGUUGACUGAGUGGCGGACGGGUGAGUAACGCGUGGGUAACCUGCCUUGUACAGGGGGAGUAACAGUUGGAAACGGCUGCUAAUACCGCAUAAGCGCACGGCAUCGCAUGAUGCAGUGUGAAAAACUCCGGUGGUAUAAGAUGGACCCGCGUUGG
rnacentral:rRNA from 1 species